rnacentral:rRNA from 1 species
AUUGAACGCUGGCGGCAGGCCUAACACAUGCAAGUCGAGCGAGUGGCGGACGGGUGAGUAAUGUCUGGGGAUCUGCCUGAUGGAGGGGGAUAACUACUGGAAACGGUAGCUAAUACCGCAUACCAUCAGAUGUACCCAUAUGGGAUUAGCUUGUUGGUGAGGUAACGGCUCACCAAGGCGACGAUCCCUAGCUGGUCUGAGAGGAUGACCAGCAACACUGGAACUGAGACACGGGCCAGACUCCUACGGGAGGCAGCAGUGGGGAAUAUUGCACAAUGGGCGCAAGCCUGAUGCAGCCAUGCCGCGUGUAUGAAGAAGGCCUUCGGGUUGUAAAGUACUUUCAGUCGGGAGGCGUUACCCGCAGAAGAAGCACCGGCUAACUCCGUGCCAGCCGCCGCGGUAAUAC